UACGGGGGGAGCAAGCGUUGUUCGGAUUUACUGGGCGUAAAGGGCGCGUAGGCGGUCAGCACAAGUCAGUUGUGAAAUCUCCGGGCUUAACUCGGAAAGGUCAACUGAUACUGUGCGACUAGAGUGCGGAAGGGGCAACUGGAAUUCUUGGUGUAGCGGUGAAAUGCGUAGAUAUCCGGAGGAACACCAGCGGCGAAGGCGGCUUUCUGGUCCGAUUCUGACGCUGAGGCGCGAAAGCUAGGGGAGCAACG
rnacentral:rRNA from 1 species